UACGUAGGGUGCAAGCGUUGUCCGGAAUUAUUGGGCGUAAAGAGCUCGUAGGCGGUUUGUCGCGUCUGCUGUGAAAACUCAGGGCUUAACCCUGAGCCUGCAGUGGGUACGGGCAGACUAGAGUGUGGUAGGGGAGAUUGGAAUUCCCGGUGUAGCGGUGAAAUGCGCAGAUAUCGGGAAGAACACCCGUGGCGAAGGCGGCACUCUGGGACGGUACUGACGCUGAGACGCGAAAGCGUGGGGAGCGAACAGG
rnacentral:rRNA from 1 species